UACAGAGACUGCAAGCGUUAUUCGGAUUCACUGGGCGUAAAGGGUGCGCAGGCGGUUGUGUGUGUCAGGUGUGAAAGCCCGGGGCUUAACCCCGGAAUUGCGCCUGAAACUACAUGACUAGAGCAUUGGAGAGGGUAGCGGAAUUCACGGUGUAGCAGUGAAAUGCGUAGAUAUCGUGAGGAACACCAGAGGCGAAGGCGGCUACCUGGACAAUUGCUGACGCUCAGGCACGAAAGCGUGGGGAGCAAAAAGGG
rnacentral:rRNA from 1 species